UACGAAGGGGGCUAGCGUUGCUCGGAAUCACUGGGCGUAAAGCGCACGUAGGCGGCUUUUUAAGUCAGGGGUGAAAUCCUGGAGCUCAACUCCAGAACUGCCUUUGAUACUGAGAAGCUUGAGUCCGGGAGAGGUGAGUGGAACUGCGAGUGUAGAGGUGAAAUCCGUAGAUAUUCGCAAGAACACCAGUGGCGAAGGCGGCUCACUGGCCCGGUACUGACGCUGAGGUGCGAAAGCGUGGGGAGCAAACAGG
rnacentral:rRNA from 1 species